ACAACUCCCCGACCAUGCUUUGUUACCAGUGCGAUUCGUGCAAGGCCGGAGUGCUUGAAGAUGUCAGGAGAGACUGGCACAAGCUCUCUGUACUUAACAUUGUCAUGGUUGUUUUACUCAUAGGCAUCUACUCCAUUGGCUGCUGUGCUUUCCAAAACACCCAAAGAGCUGAAACAGAUUAUCCUUAUGGCCGUAACAGGAUGUCCAAGAUCCACCCCAGAUGGGAUUUUCAUUGGUGGAGAUGGUUGAAUGAAAGGAGACGCCAACUUUACUAAACAAAGGACAUGGAGGAAAGCUUUCACUUUUUCCUAUGUAUUUUACAGUUAAUUGCAGUCUUUCACUGUGCAAAAGUUGGAUAUCCUUGUGCUGUUUUCAGAUUCAGCUUAUAUAUAUAUAUCCCAUUGGCGUGGUUGGGAUUUGGAUGUGGAUGGAUGCAUGAGCCUCUGCUUUAACAAACCAUUCUCUUUAUUCUCAAACACUAGCUACGUUCUGCUCUCUUGGUCCCUCUUUAACUUUGGAAUGCCUCCCGCUUCAUUUCA